CAAAAAAAAAGAAAAAAAGAAAAAAGAAAGAAGAAAGAUGGCU
rnacentral:ribozyme from 14 species